CUCGCUCAGACAUGGUGAACGGGUGGUGAUAGCGCGGGCGUUAUCCCUACAAAUGGAGGUUCCUACCGAGAUCCGAGAAAGAAGGGACAAGCUGAUGGACACCCGAAAGGACAAUGAAGUUCCUCUUUGGGUUCCUGAGCGCUGUGUGCGCCCUGUGGCUGCUGCUGAAUCCCGACAUGGCAGAGACCUAUUGGGCCUUUGUAAAAAACUCUUCCCUUCUGAUGCCAAUGGGGAUUGAGAGCCCAAUACAGCCAGCCUUGGCAAGCAUUAACGUAAUCCUAAGAACUGUAGCCAUGUGGUUGGAUUCUUCAGAAGGUAAUGUAUGGUAACUUUUUUCAAAAAUGUUGAGAAUGUGUCACACCUUGGAGAUUAAGGAUAACUCUGAAGGUCACUGACCUCUAUUUGUUAACAGUAGCAUGCCAGCUAAGCCUUUUCACAUUUUGCAACCCUCUUCAAGCUGGUGUAGUACCUACUUUUCAGGAAUGGCUCUGUGCAACAUUUAUUGGCCUCCUGAAAUUCAUCUAGCCUUUUUGAAGAUACCUUAAAUUUCUGAGCCUGAAUGUAGCCAUUAAUGAGACCAUUAGUUCUGCUCCUUGUUUGCUGUUUUUGUUUUUGUUUUCUCUAUGGUUCUUAGUUGUUCUUUUGCAGAUCUGCCAGCCUAAGUAGUGCUGGGAUCAAGAAAAAUGGGCCUUGGUGGUUCGUGUUCCUGGAGCUGCGUCCAUGCCAGUGGACCAUGGCAGUUAGACACAGAUGAUGCUCACACGCUCCAGAAGAGACUGACAUCGCUGUUGCCAUUGUUGCUGUUAUAGCAGUGGUGGCCACUGCUGCUAUUGCUUGUGGGAUGGCUACUUCAUAAUUGGGUUCUACAGCUAGCACAAUGGAGACCCUGGCAGCAAAAGUAGCUACCACAGUUAGUUAAUCUUUUAUUGUAUUGGGCAUGAUAAAUUUAAUUCUACAUUGGCUUUGAAAGUUGUAAAAAUUAUUAAAACUCAAGUUCUAUUUGCUUAUGGGAUACCACCUUACAAGGACUCCAAUUUGCAGUAAGGCUUGUUUAGGAAGGGAAUGGCUCAGUUGCCUUUAGCCUCCUGGCUAUGGGUGGGUUAGGACUUCUGUUGGUCUUUUCUGUGUCGCACAGAUUGCAAGCCCAGUGCCACUUUGAGAUCUUUGGCAGCAGUCACUCUACAGCUCACAGUGGUUGAGUCUGUAUGAUAAUGAGUAUUCAGAGAUGGGUAAUGCUUGGGGGGCGGUCAUCAACCUAAGACAGAGCACUUGUGUGGCCUGGGCAGGUGUCUCUAUGACGGGUAAGGUGACCUGCUGACGUCCCACGCAACCUAAGUCAGAAGCUCAUUUUUUUAGUAAAAAGGGGGGACCUGUGGGCCCUGGCCCCCCCACUGUGAGUGGCUGCCGCCUUGCUUGCCGACCUUGACCAGAUGUCCUCCCUAUUCAGAUUCCCUGCCGGUUUCCUUCUCACCUAACGUUCUACCGGAGGUUCUUUGUUCCUGUAUCCUGCAUUUGGUGUAAACAGCUUAGAUGCAAAAAUAUAGCGAACUUCUGCCCUCCGGGAUCCGCCAUUGUGCUGUAAGCCUGUAUUUAAGGUUUCCUCCCUCUUUCAAUAAACGGCAUUCGGCUGGCACUCGGCAUUCAGCCAUGGCGAAUGACUCGCUGUCUCUUGUCUCUAUUUUUUAAUCCACAGCCCCUCGCUCGGACAUGGUGAACGGGUGGUGAUAGCGCGGGCGUUAUCCCUACAAAUGACCUUUUGAAAAUCUAAGCACCCAUACAUCUAAGUACCCACACUAUAUUCAACAAAUGCCAUUCGCAUCCUUUCUCUAUCAGAUCGUGUGUUUUCAGAAGUGUGUCAGAUACCAUCAAAGCCUCUUCCUUUCUAUCAGCAUCAGCAUCGUUGUCAUUUGUACUUCAUAAUCUAUCACCAAGAUCUAUUAUGCCUAAUAGACAUUUAUAUUCCCCUGACAAUUCAGUUUCUGGUAAAAGAGUGACAUAUGGAAUAUCUUUAGGAUGGUCUUCAUUGGUUUCAUUGUUUAAAUAAAUAUCAUCUUAUUG